rnacentral:tRNA from 1 species
GUCGGAUAGCCUCAGUUGGAGAGCAGAGAACUGAAAUCCCG